rnacentral:rRNA from 1 species
GACGAACGCUGGCGGCGUGCUUAACACAUGCAAGUCGAACGGUAAGGCCCUUCGGGGUACACGAGUGGCGAACGGGUGAGUAACACGUGGGUGAUCUGCCCUGCACUUCGGGAUAAGCCUGGGAAACUGGGUCUAAUACCGGAUAGGACCACUGCCUGCAUGGGUGGUGGUGGCAAGCUUUUGCGGUGUGGGAUGGGCCCGCGGCCUAUCAGCUUGGUGGUGGGGUGAUGGCCUAACAAGGCGACGACGGGUAGCCGGCCUGAGAGGGUGACCGGCCACACUGGGACUGAGAUACGGCCCAGACGCCUACGGGAGGCAGCAGUGGGGAAUAUUGCACAAUGGGCGCAAGCCUGAUGCAGCGACGCCGCGUGAGGGAGGACGGCCUUCGGGUUGUAAACCUCCUUCAGCGCCGACGAAGCGCAAGUGACGGUAGGUGCAGAAGAAGGACCGGCCAACUACGUGCCAGCCGCCGCGGUAA